rnacentral:rRNA from 1 species
UAAAGGAAUUGGCGGGGGAGCACAGCAACGGGUGGAGCGUGCGGUUUAAUUGGAUUCAACGCCGGAAACCUCACCGGGGGCGACGGUUAUAUGAAGGCCAGGCUGAUGACCUUGCCUGAUUUUCCGAGAGGUGGUGCAUGGCCGCCGUCAGUUCGUACCGUAAGGCGUUCUGUUAAGUCAGACAACGAACGAGACCCUCAUCCCUAAUUGCUACUUGUCUCUCCGGAGGCAAGGCACAUUAGGGAAACCGCUGGCGAUAAGCCAGAGGAAGGCGAGGGCAACGGUAGGUCAGUAUGCCCUGAAUCCCCCGGGCUACACGCGCGCUACAAAGGCCAGGACAAUGGGUUCCGACACCGAAAGGUGAAGGUAAUCCCGAAACCUGGUCAUAGUCCGGAUCGAGGGUUGAAACUCACCCUCGUGAAGCUGGAAUCCGUAGUAAUCGCGGGUCAACAUCCCGCGGUGAAUAUGCCCCUGCUCCUUGCACACACCGCCA